rnacentral:rRNA from 1 species
AUUGAACGCUGGCGGCAGGCCUAACACAUGCAAGUCGAGCGAGCGGCGGACGGGUGAGUAAUGUAUGGGGACUGCCCGAUAGAGGGGGAUAACUACUGGAAACGGUAGCUAAUACCGCAUACUAUCGGAUAACCCAUAUGGGAUUAGCUAGUAGGUGAGGUAAUGGCUCACCUAGGCAACGAUCCGUAGCUGGUUUGAGAGGACGACCAGCCACACUGGGACUGGGACACGGCCCAGACGCCUACGGAGGCAGCGGUGGGGAAGUUUGGACAAUGGGGGAAACCCUGAACCAGCCAUCCCGCGUGUAUGAUGAGGGCCUUCGGGUUGUAAAGUACUUUUGGCAGAGAAGCGGUAGCUGCAGAAUAAGCGCCGGCUAACUACGUGCCAGCAGCCGCGGUAAUAC